AUAUUGAAAACCUAGCAGGAGGAGUGGAAGGAACAACGGCAGAGGAGGUCACUGAAUACUCAGCUGCACUCUGGGAAAGACACGACGCACUUCAGGACACAGAGAAGGUUAUGGACCAUGUGCUGCUGCUGAGGGAGUGGAGGUCUCCGUUUUCCACAGCUUCGGCAGCCUGGAAGGGGCUGCAGACCCGACCUGCCAGGAUCAUGUGCUAUCCACUUACCGGAGGCGCACACAUAUGGCUCACUGGCUGUGUGGAAGAAAAAACUCCAGUUGGGAAACACUGAGGCUGGGAGGCACGCGUGGCCUUUUCCCCACCUGCAAAUACCAGGUGCACAAAGGAAAACCGCACAGAGGAGGCGGCUCCCUUUCU